CAGCAGUGGGGAAUAUUGCACAAUGGGGGAAACCCUGAUGCAGCGACGCCGCGUGGAGGAAGAAGGUUUUCGGAUUGUAAACUCCUGUCGUUAGGGACGAUAAUGACGGUACCUAACAAGAAAGCACCGGCUAACUACGUGCCAGCAGCCGCGGUAAAACGUAGGGUGCAAGCGUUGUCCGGAAUUACUGGGUGUAAAGGGAGCGCAGGCGGGAAGACAAGUUGGAAGUGAAAUCCAUGGGCUCAACCCAUGAACUGCUUUCAAAACUGUUUUUCUUGAGUAGUGCAGAGGUAGGCGGAAUUCCCGGUGUAGCGGUGGAAUGCGUAGAUAUCGGGAGGAACACCAGUGGCGAAGGCGGCCUACUGGGCACCAACUGACGCUGAGGCUCGAAAGUGUGGGUAGCAAACAGGAUUAGAUACCCUGGUAGUCCACACUGUAAACGAUGAUUACUAGGUGUUGGAGGAUUGACCCCUUCAGUGCCGCAGUUAACACAAUAAGUAAUCCACCUGGGGAGUACGACCGCAAGGUUGAAACUCAAAGGAAUUGACGGGGGCCCGCACAAGCAGUGGAGUAUGUGGUUUAAUUCGAAGCAACGCGAAGAACCUUACCAGGUCUUGACAUCCCGAUGACCGGCCCGUAACGGGGCCUUCUCUUCGGAGCAUUGGAGACAGGUGGUGCAUGGUUGUCGUCAGCUCGUGUCGUGAGAUGUUGGGUUAAGUCCCGCAACGAGCGCAACCCUUAUGGUCAGUUACUACGCAAGAGGACUCUGGCCAGACUGCCGUUGACAAAACGGAGGAAGGUGGGGAUGACGUCAAAUCAUCAUGCCCUUUAUGACUUGGGCUACACACGUACUACAAUGGCGUUAAACAAAGAGAAGCAAGACCGCGAGGUGGAGCAAAACUCAGAAACAACGUCCCAGUUCGGACUGCAGGCUGCAACUCGCCUGCACGAAGUCGGAAUUGCUAGUAAUCGCAGAUCAGCAUGCUGCGGUGAAUACGUUCCCGGGCCUUGUACACACCGCCCGUCACACCAUGAGAGCCGGGGGGACCCGAAGUCGGUAGUCUAACCGCAAGGAGGACGCCGCCGAAGGUAAAACUGGUGAUUGGGGUGAAGUCGUAACAAGGUAGCCGUAGGAGAACCUGCGGCUG
rnacentral:rRNA from 1 species